UAGGGAAUCUUCCACAAUGGACGCAAGUCUGAUGGAGCAACGCCGCGUGAGUGAAGAAGGUUUUCGGAUCGUAAAGCUCUGUUGUUGGUGAAGAAGGAUAGAGGCAGUAACUGGUCUUUAUUUGACGGUAAUCAACCAGAAAGUCACGGCUAACUACGUGCCAGCAGCCGCGGUAAUACGUAGGUGGCAAGCGUUGUCCGGAUUUAUUGGGCGUAAAGCGAGCGCAGGCGGAAUGAUAAGUCUGAUGUGAAAGCCCACGGCUCAACCGUGGAACUGCAUCGGAAACUGUCAUUCUUGAGUGCAGAAGAGGAGAGUGGAAUUCCAUGUGUAGCGGUGGAAUGCGUAGAUAUAUGGAAGAACACCAGUGGCGAAGGCGGCUCUCUGGUCUGCAACUGACGCUGAGGCGUGAAAGCAUGGGUAGCGAACAGG
rnacentral:rRNA from 1 species